CAUUGGACGAGCUAGUCGAAUAGUCGAGCACUAUCCGUAGUGUGCAAUUAAUGAGGUAGCCGUGUCGUUGAAUAGACGGGCUAUUCGCAAGGCAUAAUCCUGUCCAUAAAAAAUUUUGCGGAUUUUUCCGCCAACUACCAUUAUACUCACUGAGUCCUCCAAAAUAAUCAAGAGUAUGCGGGACCGCCCAGCGUGGAGCAUUGUUAUUCGAACACGCGAGACUACCAAUCUUGACAUCCUUGACAGUACUGAUAACGUAUCUCUUCGAGCAGAGUGACAGUGUGCAUGGUGUCGUCAGCUCGUGUCGUGAGAUGUUGGGUUAAGUCCCGCAACGAGCGCAACCCUUGUUCUUAGUAGCCAGCACGUCAAGGUGGGCACUCUAGGAAGACUGCCGGAGACAAUCCGGAUGAAGGUGGGGAUGACGUCAAAUCAUCAUGCCCCUUAUGACCUGGCUAGCACCGCGCUACAAUGGCUGGUACAAAAGAGUCGCGAUACCGUGAGGUGGUGCUGGUCUCGUAAAACCAGUCUCAGUUCGGAUUGUAGUCUGCAACUCGACUACAUGAAGUUGGAAUCGCUAGUAAUCGUGAAACAGAAUGUCGCGGUGAAUACGUUCUCGAGUCUUGUACACACCGCCCGUCACACCAUGAGAGUUUAUAACACCCGAAGCUGGUGGCCUAACCGCAAGGAGGGAGCCAUCUAAGGUGGGAUAAAUGAUUGGGGUG
rnacentral:rRNA from 1 species